AUCGAAGCCGAGGCUAACUCCCAGCAGAAGCUAGCUGCUGCAGAAGCUGAGAUUGCAGAGCUGAGACAGAAGUUGGAUGCUUCUAAAAGGUCUGUUCAGCCACUUAUUAUAUUGAAUGACGAGUCAUCAUAGUGCUGUUGGUAGAUCAUUCAGAAAAUUGUCUCUGUGUGCUUAAACCUAAGAGAACAUCUUCCUAAAUAGGAGCUCACAUUGCCACUUGUUAUAUUGAAUGAUGCGUCAUCAUAGUGCUUUUGGUAGAUCAUUCGGAAAAUUGUCUGUGUCCUAGGAUAACAUCUUCCUAAAUAGGAGCUGAACUUGAUAUGUAUUUCCCAUACAUGAAAAACUCU
rnacentral:lncRNA from 1 species